rnacentral:rRNA from 1 species
UACGUAAGGAGCAAGCGUUGUCCGGAUUUACUGGGCGUAAAGAGCUCGUAGGCGGCCGAUCAGAUCUCGCGUAAAAUCCCCCGGCUCAACCGGGGAGGGUCGCGGGAAACCGACCGGCUUGAGGACAGAAAAGGAAAGUGGAAUUCCCGGUGUAGCGGUGAAAUGCGUAGAUAUCGUGAGGAACACCAGUGGUGAAGACGGCUUUCUGGUCUGUUGCUGACGCUGAGGAGCGAAAAGCCAGGGGAGCGAACCGGAUUAGAUACCCUGGUAGUCCCUGAGCGGGCU